GCGUGUGUGAUGAAGGCCUUAGGGUUGUAAAGCACUUUCAACGGUGAAGAUAAUGACGGUAACCGUAGAAGAAGCCCCGGCUAACUUCGUGCCAGCAGCCGCGGUAAUACGAAGGGGGCUAGCGUUGUUCGGAAUUACUGGGCGUAAAGCGCACGUAGGCGGAUUGGUCAGUUGGGGGUGAAAUCCCAGGGCUCAACCCUGGAACUGCCUUCAAUACUGCCAGUCUAGAGAUCGAGAGAGGUGAGUGGAAUUCCGAGUGUAGAGGUGAAAUUCGU
rnacentral:rRNA from 1 species